CCCUUCUCAGGGUCACACCUGGAGAGUUUCCAUUACUCUACCAGUCUUGACUACAGGAGGGAGAGUCAAGCAGACUCAUAACGAUUCCAUUCCUAGCUUGGGCAGUGGCUAGCAAGUGGAAGGCAAUCUACUACAAGU